GGAAUAUAAGAAUCCGUUUCUUAACUUUUAACUAAAAAAACUAAGAACCGACUCUUAAAUAAGAGUUUUAAGUGACGUUUUUUAUUUUUUUUAGUUAAAAGUUAAGAGACGGGUUUUUAUAUUCC
rfam:Brassica napus, WGS project CCCW01000000 data, contig: 7982